rnacentral:misc_RNA from 1 species
AUGCGAUAAGUAAUGUGAAUUGCAGAAUUCAGUGAAUCAUCGAAUCUUUGAACGCACCUUGCGCUCCUUGGUAUUCCUUGGAGCAUGCCUGUUUGAGUAUCAUGAAAUCUUCAAAGUAAAUCUUUUGUUAAUUCAAUUGGUUCUACUUUGGUCUUGGAGGUUAUUGCAGCUUCACACCUGCUCCUCUUUGUUCAUUAGCUGGAUCUCAGUGUUAUGCUUGGUUCCACUCAGCGUGAUAAGUAUCUAUCGCUGAGGACACUGUAACAAGUGGCCAAGGGAAAUGCAGAUGAGCCGCUUCUAAUCGUCCAUUUAUUUGGACAAUAUUUUUUAUGAUCUGAUCUCAAAUCAGGUAGGACUACCCGCUGAACUUAA